GCCGCGACGCCGCACGCUGAUUGGCUGAAACGCCUCCGCCCGCGAAGACGGGGCACAAAAGUCUUCAUGAAAAGACUCGGAGGCGGCCAGGAAAAUCUCCUCGUUGUUAAAGCUCAUGUGAUGUUGUUCAGGUGCACCCAAAUGUUAUGUAUUCCAGGUGUGCCUGGGCACCUGGCCAGCCUGACCUGAAACAGAGGCGUUUUCUUCAGAGCGGUGGAUUUACAUGGUCUCAUGUGGCUUCUCUACCAUAAAUUGCGCUGCUCAGCUUAUUCAGGUUGGAAUGGUUUGGUUGCCUUGAUCUAUGAGCGGGUGAUCCUGCCACCUUCAGAAACUAAACAAUGCUUUCAUCUUCAGAGGUGGACCAGAAGAGAUAAAGAGGACAGGACACCUUCAGCCCAUUGUACAAUGCAAAUGGUGAACUGAGCACUGCUGGUCUCGCUUUCAAAGCGGAAUAUGCUGUGUUGCAGCCUUGUGGUGGGACUUCAGCUCUUACGCGGCGUAGCUCCAGGAGAAGGCUGUGCUCGUUGGAGCUUUUUUGCCAUCCCCUAAAUGUGUUAGUUCACAGAGGAGUUGUGAAAGUUAAUUAAUACUUGACAAGCACUAUGUAAAUAUUCAGAAUUAAAAGUGUAUUAAUUUAUAUAGCACUUUAAAUGUUAUAUACAUUCAACCUCGAAUGAAACCUCUGGUCCAAAGAUUUAUAAAGAGCUUGUACUUUUUGGCCUGGGGAAGAGGAAAAAUACCUCCUUUUCUUAAGAAAAUAGAAAAGCUUCACUCAAUGUCCUGUUAUGUACUCAUGUGUUCAUAUUGCGCAAUAAAUAUUUACAUAAAAACGUAUCAGUUUUCAAAAAGAACUUGUUAACUCCAUUUUCCAACUGACUUUGGCCCAGUUGGAAAGAUUAUGUAUGCCAGAGGACUGCAGUAAAAGAGAUUUAAAGGUUUUCAAAUAACAUGAAAUAGAGACUAUAAUAAGUGACUAGUGGACCAGUCAGCUAUUUUAAUUAAAACUGGGCUGCUUAUUGAUCUCUCGUGCAGAUUUACCCCCAUCUGCAACAUUUCAGCCAUAUUCCCUUUAACUGUUUCAGAAAAUAGCACUUGCAGGAGAGACUUAAGGAAUAUUGGAGUCGAGAAAGCAAGUGUUUUAUAACUAUGCAACAUUUUUAACAAGGAUUUUCUUUGCUUUUUUUUAUAUGUAAGGUGGUGACA